AGAUUGAACGCUGGCGGCAGGCCUAACACAUGCAAGUCGAGCGGUAGAGAGGUGCUUGCACCUCUUGAGAGCGGCGGACGGGUGAGUAAUGCCUAGGAAUCUGCCUAGUGGUGGGGGAUAACGUUCGGAAACGGACGCUAAUACCGCAUACGUCCUACGGAGAAAGCGGGGACCUUCGGGCCUCGCGCCAUUAGAUGAGCCUAGGUCGGAUUAGCUAGUUGGUGAGGUAAUGGCUCACCGAAGGCGAACGAUCCGUAACUGGUCUGAGAGGAUGAUCGAGUCACACUAGGAACUGAGACACGGUCCAGACCUCGUACGGGAGCAGCAGAGGGAAUAUAGGACAAGUCGGGACGAAAGCCUAGACUCCGAGCCAUCGCCGUCGU
rnacentral:rRNA from 1 species